rnacentral:sRNA from 1 species
GCCGGGUGGGGUGGCACAUGCAUGUAAUCCCAGCUAUGUGGGAGGCUGAGGCAGGAGGAUUGCAAGUUUGAGGCCAGCUUCUGCAACUUAGCAAGACCCUGUCUCAA